UACGUAGGGUGCAAGCGUUGUCCGGAAUUAUUGGGCGUAAAGAGCUCGUAGGCGGUUUGUCGCGUCGGCUGUGGAAACUCGGGGCUCAACCCCGAGCCUGCAGUCGAUACGGGCAAACUAGAGUGUGGUAGGGGAGACUGGAAUUCCUGGUGUAGCGGUGAAAUGCGCAGAUAUCAGGAGGAACACCGGCGGCGAAGGCGGGUCUCUGGGCCAUAACUGACGCUGAGGAGCGAAAGCGUGGGGAGCGAACAGG
rnacentral:rRNA from 1 species